AUGGGAGAGAAACAUGUGAAGAAAAGUGACGUCCGACGGUCCAGCCUCCAGGAGAGCUAAGGGAACUUCGUCCCACGUCGCUCUACGUCGUUCUACUCCUGUUUUCGUCGUUCUGCUUCAAGACUCAAGGCUAAUGUUAAACUGAAGCCAAGAGAAGAGAUAUCAUCCUAAAUAAUCAAUGCAACCAGAGGGACUUCCGUCACAUCCUCACUUGCAAAGGAAAGGCAUUAAAUGGUGUAUAAGAGACAAGAAGUACAUUCGUUGAUGGUGUUCCAAGCAGGUGUCUUCAAAUGAUUUGAAAAUCGAACCACUUGCAGUAGGACAUGAGAAUGGUGAAUGGCAUCUAAUCUUGAAGGUCAAGCCGAAGAUCAAGAACACUGAACAUUUACCAGGAGAGGAAUAGCCUGUCCAGGAGGAGAAUGUACGACGUAGCUGGGCUUCAAGGUACUUCAGCUUAAUAAAUGGUCACUUAUCAGAUCUUUGCGGAACACGUUGGAUAUUGUUGUGAAGGAAAGCAAGGACACUGCAGGCAAGAACAUUCCUGUGUCAUCAGUGAAGUUAGGACCAUGUGACCAUUUAUCUCCCCUCCUGCCAAAUCCAUAAAAUCUUAAAGUCUGAGGAACUUAUAAAGCUUGUGCCUAAGUAUUGGUUUACUUGUUACUAAAUGAAUUAAAUUGUCAUAGUUGAAACCAAAAAAGUUGCUGAAAAUUGGAGCACAUGCCAUGCCACCAUUUGUGCUUUGAGAAAAUUUGGUUUAGUGAAACUGGUAAAUUUUUAGUUUCAGCCAAAUUUGGAAAAAUGCAAUAGAAAUAUAUUUGUUGCAUCAGAAAUAGUGUGGUU